rnacentral:rRNA from 1 species
GCAGUGAGGAAUAUUGGUCAAUGGGCGCAAGCCUGAACCAGCCAUGCCGCGUGCAGGAUGACGGUCCUAUGGAUUGUAAACUGCUUUUGUACGGGAAGAAACACUCCUUCGUGAAGGAGCUUGACGGUACCGUAAGAAUAAGGAUCGGCUAACUCCGUGCCAGCAGCCGCGGUAAUACGGAGGAUCCAAGCGUUAUCCGGAAUCAUUGGGUUUAAAGGGUCCGUAGGCGGACCUGUAAGUCAGUGGUGAAAUCUCCCCGCUCAACGGGGAAACUGCCAUUGAUACUGCAGGUCUUGAAUUAUUGUGAAGUAACUAGAAUAUGUAGUGUAGCGGUGAAAUGCUUAGAGAUUACAUGGAAUACCGAUUGCGAAGGCAGGUUACUAACAAUAUAUUGACGCUGAUGGACGAAAGCGUGGGGAGCGAACAGGAUUAGA